rnacentral:lncRNA from 1 species
UCAUGAAUAUUUUCUUCACAAACCAAAAAGAAAGAAAAGUAGCUUUUCCAUCAAACAAGUAAUGAAUUCCCAACUUCUCAAGCACCUGUGCAAAAAAAGAGACGAGAAUCGACCAAGAACUUUCAAGUGGAACUUGGAGGUUAGAUGGUAAAUUUAGCUGUUUUUAAGUCUUUAUUUUGUAUUUCUUUCCAUUUGUUUUGUUUUCGUACUCACCUCAAAGGCUCAAACAGGUCUAGUAGCAUCCGAAGUUCGACCAAGCAAACCAUAUAUCUCAUAAGAAUCUGAUUACCACACUCCUAGGCAAGUUCUGGACCACUUGGUAGCAGAUCAUAGCCGUCAUGGUGCUUAGAAGUCUCCUUUUCGACAGGGA